rnacentral:lncRNA from 10 species
GUUGCAGUGAGCCGAGAUCAUGCCACUGACUGACCUGGGUGACAGAGCCAGACUCCAUCUCAAACAAACAAAAAAGAGCUCCCUGAGGGCAAGAGUUUUGUUUUGUUCACUUAAUUUCCUGUACUUUGAUGUUUUGACAUCUUAAAAAGCUUGUUGGCCAGGAAGUGGAUGCCUCUCCCGGGGCUAGCCCCUUCUUAGAUAACUGAGGGCUCCCUAGAGCACUCUUUCUUAUGCAAACCAGCUAAUCCCUAAUCUGUAGCCACACCCACCUGGUCUAAUUCACACAUCAGGCCAGUGUUUCUUCUGCCCUAAAUCAUCCCAGGGCCAGAUACCAGGCAACUAGUGACCAUUCCUAUAGCCAGCCCAAAGCCUGCCAGAAUUAUAUUAGCCAAUCCUAAACAGUUUACUUUGCCCUGCUUUGACUUUCCCAUGGAAACCACAAUGAAGGCUCUGGGCUAGACUUUCCCCUCUAUCCUAUCUUAAACUACCUAACCAAAACCUGGUGCUUCCUCUGAGGCCCUGCAUGGCACAUGAUGACCCCUUCUUUAGGACCUGUAAGUAUAAUAAACUUCCUCUUUCCAAGCCUCAAUAUCAUCUCCUUCGGUGGCCAAACUGACUUUACCAUACCAUAUCCAACAUUUACAUUUUUAGAACAGUAUAAAUUGAUAUAACCUCUUUAGAGAGCAAUUUUUCAAUAGAUCAAAAUUUAAAAGCACCUAUCUGUUGACCUUGCAAUACCACUUGGAGAAAUAUUUCCUAUAGAUACUCUCACACAUGUAAGAGAUGAUAUGUAAGACUAAUAAAUGUGACAUUAUUUCUAAAUCAAAUUGGAAACAACCUUAAGGGCUAUCAGUGCAAAACUGGUUACAUUAAUUAUGCUACAUCUAGUCAGUGCAAUGGUGUACAGCUGUUAAAAGAAAGGAACUUUAUAUGUGCUUACAUGGAUUGAUCUCCAGGAUACUUUGUUAGGUCAGAGAAGCAAAAUCCAGAAAAGUAAAAAUUGUGCAUUGGUUAAAACAGAAGUUCUAGUACCAAUCAUUGCCAUUCUCUCUUUUGCUACCUAAUAGCUUGUAAGAUUGGGCAAGUUAUUCCAUCUCUGUAUGUCUUCCUUUUCUUAUUUGUAAAACAGUAAGUGUACCUACCUCCCAGCUUUGUUUUAAGGAGUGAAUGACUUAAUGUGUAUUUAAAGCACUGGUUUAUAAUGAUACUAGCUAAGAUUUUGAGUUGUUGCUAUGUGACAGGCAUUGUAACAUAGCAACAACUCAAAAUCUUAGUAUCAUUUAUGUAAAAAUAGACAAUGUAAAAU